UACGUAGGGCGCAAGCGUUGUCCGGAAUUAUUGGGCGUAAAGAGCUCGUAGGCGGUUCGUCACGUCGGGAGUGAAAACUCGGAGCUUAACUCCGAGCCUGCUUCCGAUACGGGCAGACUAGAGGUAGGCAGGGGAGAGCGGAACUCCUGGUGUAGCGGUGGAAUGCGCAGAUAUCAGGAAGAACACCGGUGGCGAAGGCGGCUCUCUGGGCCUUACCUGACGCUGAGGAGCGAAAGCGUGGGUAGCGAACAGG
rnacentral:rRNA from 1 species